rnacentral:rRNA from 1 species
AUUGAACGCUGGCGGCAUGCCUUACACAUGCAAGUCGAACGGCAGCGGACCUUCGGGUGCCGGCGAGUGGCGAACGGGUGAGUAAUAUAUCGGGAACGUACCUUUCAGUGGGGGAUAACGUAGCGAAAGUUACGCUAAUACCGCAUAUUCUGUGAGCAGGAAAGCAGGGGAUCGCAAGACCUUGCGCUGGAUUGAGCGGCCGAUAUCAGAUUAGCUAGUUGGGUGAGGUAAAGGCUCACCAAGGCGACGAUCUGUAGCGGGUCUGAGAGGAUGAUCCGCCACACUGGAACUGAGACACGGUCCAGACUCCUACGGGAGGCAGCAGUGGGGAAUUUUGGACAAUGGGCGCAAGCCUGAUCCAGCCAUGCCGCGUGAGUGAAGAAGGCCUGG